CACCGCAAAAAAAAUCACCAAUUUUUUAUUACCCGCUCGUUAUUCCCUAAAUCCAACAAAUAACUCUCAAAAUUUGCCCCCAAAUCUCCCAUUUCUAGCAACACCAAGUCAAUACACCUACACUAAUUGCCAGAAGUCCGUAGCUUGGAGCUUGUCCUGACUGUUUCCUCCACUAAUUGCCGGAAGAAGUCGGCCGUAAAAGAAAGAUCUUCUACUUCAACCUGGCUUUGGUUGACCCCCUUUCGGUGGUAGUAAGAGCAGAAUCUUGGGUUGGUGCUUGAAGUAAGGGUCAUCAAAGAGACGGAUCAGUUUCCUUUUAAUUUUACCGGUGAUUUCUAUGGCUAUGGAAACCCUAAAUGACGAGAAAACGGAGGAAGAGGAGGUGAUAGAUAAAGAAAAUAAAGAGGGAAGUGAAAAGUUGAAUCGUUCAAGUGCCGUAUCUGCAAAUACACCCUCCAAAAUUUGUCAUACUUUUCCUGGAAAUGGAAGAUGUCAAAGGUUAAGUUUCAAGACCAAAGCUGCGGGUUCAGUUGAAGGAAAUGUACUUGAUAAAGAAUCGGCUAGUAUUAGUGACAAGAUAGGUAACUGCUUGCUGUCUCAUUAGAUAUCUGAUUAAAGACCAGGUAAAAAAUUUCGUUCGAUUUUGCUAGCUUUUCUCCUCUCUUUACUAGAUAAUUUCUAUCUGGGUUCUUAAUUAUCUCCAUAUUUCUGAUCUUUUUCUUGAUCCAAACAAAAAGCAUAAAACCUCAAAUUCUCAUGCUUUAAUUCUGAUAGAGCAUACAAGUUUCUUUUUCUUUUUUUUUUUUACAUGGGUGUUUCGUUUAAGGUUUCAAAAACCGGUACUAGGUUCAAGCCGAAGCCUUGUCUUCAAUUGGAGGCUUCGGUUGAUGUUGUCCCUGACAAUUCUGAAGAGAGCUGAUGGCCUAGAAAGCUCCAGGGUAAUAUCAUUGAAGGCGUUGAGCAUGUUCCUGAGGUGUCUCAACCAUUUGUUUCUGAAGAAGUGCUUUGUGUUCCUAAAGAUCAUGAAAUUUCAUUCACCUUGAAUCUUUAUCCAGAUGGAUAUUGUAUUGGAAAACCACCAGAGGAUGCUUUGAAUCAGGCUACUCUUCACGGUGCUCCAAAGUUGCAUCCAUAUGAUAGGUCAUCUGAAACUCUCUUCUUAGCUAAGAAGUUAGCAUCACAAUAUCAAAAGGAAGCGGACAAAUGCAAUUCGGGUAUGGAGACGUGCGAAGAAGUAAGGGAGAAAGCUGAAGAAGCACUGUCGGCUCAAAUGAAAUUAACAGCAAUGUGGGAAAUAAGAGCUCGUCAGAAAGGGUGGAGAGAAAAGGUCGCCAAAUCUAAUGCAUUUCCUUAUUUCAUUUAAGUAACUUCAUUAUAAUGUCUUAUUUUAUUGAUAUUUUUAUAUUUAAUCUAGUUUUUAUUAUUUAUUUUAGUUUUGAUUCUAAAUUUUUAUUUUUAUUUUAAUAUUUAAGAUAACUUGAGUUCUAACUUUUAAAUUUUAA